ACAACACGCAUGACCCAGUUGACAGUGAUCAUGCUGUCUUUAUGAAUGAAAUCUUCACGGAGUAAAGGGCAACUUCCCUACAAAGUUCAUGUAGUUCGAUACCAUAAUUCAAUAAAACGUAUGAAAAAAACAUUAUUACCGUUCUUGUCGAUACAUUCUGCAUCAAGACUAACUGUCCAGCGCCGUUUGAAACCUUUGUUUACAUACAUUUCAACUAACUGACAUUUUAAACAUACGAGUGAUUUCAUUGGUCCAAUGCGGAGGUGUGUCUUUACAACUGGAGAUUUCAUUCAUAAAGAAUACAUGAUCACUGUCAACUGGGUCAUGCGUGUUGUGUAUCGUGUUAUUUCUUAAAAGUUGACCCAGCAUUUGUAAAAAUAUUGCAAGACAUAUACAUUUCCAGAGAGGAAAUUCAUUUCUGCGUUGAAUAAGACCGAGAUCGUGAAAAUCGCUGCACAAUUGAUGAAGAUAUGGCUGUUCAAAGCGAUGCACCCCGUUUUGGGGUGAUUUUGAGUUGCAUACCUUGUUAUAUAUAUAUUUGAUAGUGAAAUAUUUUUUUUCAGAAAAGUUAAUUUUUC